rnacentral:rRNA from 1 species
AUUGAACGCUGGCGGCAGGCUUAACACAUGCAAGUCGAGCGAGCGGCGGACGGGUGAGUAAUGUCUGGGAAACUGCCUGAUGGAGGGGGAUAACUACUGGAAACGGUAGCUAAUACCGCAUACCAUCAGAUGUGCCCAGAUGGGAUUAGCUAGUAGGUGGGGUAAUGGCUCACCUAGGCGACGAUCCCUAGCUGGUCUGAGAGGAUGACCAGCGACACUGGAACUGAGACACGGUCCAGACUCCUACGGGAGGCAGCAGUGGGGAAUAUUGCACAAUGGGUGCAAGCCUGAUGCAGCGACGCCGCGUGGGGGAUUAAGGCUUUCGGGUUGUAACCCUCUUUCGCGGGUAGGUGCAGAAGAAGCGCCGGCUAACUACGUGCCAGCAGCCGCGGUAAUAC